rnacentral:rRNA from 1 species
GAUGAACGCUGGCUACAGGCUUAACACAUGCAAGUCGAGGGGAAACGGCAUUGGGUGCUUGCACCGAAUGGACGUCGACCGGCGCACGGGUGAGUAACGCGUAUCCAACCUUCCCGUUACUGCGGGAUAACCUGCCGAAAGGCAGACUAAUACCGCAUGUUCAUCGAUGACGGCAUCAGAUUCGAAGCAAAGAUCCGUCGGUAACGGAGGGGGAUGCGUCUGAUUAGCUAGUUGGCGGGGCGACGGCCCACCAAGGCGACGAUCAGUAGGGGUUCUGAGAGGAAGGUCCCCCACAUUGGAACUGAGACACGGUCCAAACUCCUACGGGAGGCAGCAGUGAGGAAUAUUGGUCAAUGGGCGGAAGCCUGAACCAGCCAAGUAGCGUGCAGGAUGACGGCCCUACGGGUUGUAAACUGCUUUUAUGCGGGGAUAAAGUGAGGGACGCGUCCCUUUUUGCAGGUACCGCAUGAAUAAGGACCGGCUAAUUCCGUGCCAGCAGCCGCGGUAAUACGGAAGGUCCGGGCGUUAUCCGGAUUUAUUGGGUUUAAAGGGAGCGUAGGCCGGGGAUUAAGUGUGUUGUGAAAUGUAGGCGCCCAACGUCUGACUUGCAGCGCAUACUGGUUCCCUUGAGUACGCGCAACGCCGGCGGAAUUCGUCGUGUAGCGGUGAAAUGCUUAGAUAUGACGAAGAACCCCGAUUGCGAAGGCAGCCGGCGGGAGCGCAACUGACGCUGAAGCUCGAAGGUGCGGGUAUCGAACAGG